CCUGCACAGUGCCCAAUAAGUUUAAGAAGCACUGCAGAUGCAGAAGAUGCUUUUAUCUGUCAAUGCAGUUAAAAAAAAUGAAGUGAAUACAUUUGUGCCAUAGAAAGUCAGACUUUGAAUUAAAGGUCACAUAUCCGGGGCACCAUUAAGCCUUUGCGCUACCAGGCUCGCCAUUGGUCAGUAAAAAAGCGUCCCCUGGUCUCUAUGACUACAUUUCUGUUCCCGCGAGAUGUUGUUUUAAGGCGAGCAGAGUCCCCGGACGGCAGUUGCUAUGGAUACAGGAGUUGUCUUCACCUGUGGUGAAGUCUAAAACCAAUUUGUUUACACGGACCCGACUAAUUAACAGCCAUAAAUCAGAGAUCAUGGAGUCUGAUGAUCAGCUGAACGAACUGCGGCUUCAGUUUCAAGCACUGCAAAAACAGCAGGAAAAAAGGAAACAGGAGAGGAAAAAGGAGAAACAGCCAGACAAGCUCAAUGACAGUGGCGGUCAGGAUGAUUUGGAUCUGUCUAACCAAGGUGUUCAGGCAAACUGUGAUGCUCCCCAAAACAGGCUGUUGCACAUUCAGAAUAAGGCCGUCCUUGACCAAUUGAGAGAACUAAAGGAUGAAAAUGGUCGGCUCUUCAAACUUCUGAGCGAGAAGGAUUUUGAAAUUAAGCACCUGAAGAGGAAAAGAGAAGAAGAAAGACUGGCUUUAGCAGGUACUUCAGGCUUGGCAGGAGCUGUAGCUGCCACCAAGAUUGUUGAGCUAUCCAAGAAGAAUAGAGAAUUAACUGCUGAAAUUGAGCAAGAGAAGAUUAAAUGUAAGCAAAAUGGCAACAGAAUCAAAGAGCUUGAGAGAGAGCUGCAGGCCAUGCUGGUACACGGUGUACCUGGGCAAAAAGUCGAUUCAAAGUCACCAGUUAAGAUCUCAUCUGAAGAAUGUGAGCAGGAAAGUGCACUGGUUAAAUCUCUGCAGGAAAAAUUAGCAACUACCCAACUGAAGGUGACCGAGUACCGCAACCAGGUGCAGUCUGCCAAGCAGGAGUUGAAAAUGGCACACAAGGUUCUGAUUAGUGAGAUUGGAGAGGAGGUCAACCUUCAGCAAUUACUAAGCUGCCCUGGGAGCUUUAGAGGUCGAGCACAGCAGAUACUGGCUCUGCAGACAAGGGUACGGGAGCUUGAGCAGCAGCUGAACAAGUCAACACAACAAAGGCAGUCAAGUGUUCUGAGUGGAGAGGAAGAGUUUCUGGGCAUGGGUGUUCUUCAGAAAACUCCUCCGCAGGAAAGAAAUGUCAACUACAUCCGCACUAUAGAGAAAGAGAAGAGGGAAGCCCUUGAGAGGCUCUCAGUGGAUUAUGAGGCACUGUUGAAAGAACACAAAGAUGUGAAGCAAAAGCUGGAAGCCUCUAAAGCCAGGAGCAAAACUCUAUCUGCUGAAGUCAAAACUCUGAAGCAUCAAAUAUCAACCCUGAUGGAGAAGGGGAAACACGAUGAUGAGUUCGUGGCUGCUUUGAUGAAGCAGCAGGCCCAGAUGCAAACGGUAUUAAAACGACUCAGCCAAAAACAAAACGUACAGAGCAAGGUGAUGCAGCAGAGUGUAGGACAACAGCUGAGCAACAUACCUUCAGAGCACAGUGCUAUCGUCCAGAGAUUUAAGGAGAUACUUGCUGAGAAAGAUGCCAUUAUCAAAAAACUACAGAAAAGCCAGCAAUUCUCUGAUAAGGUGUUGAAGAACAAUGAUGUGCACAGACAGCCCAGCAUCAGGAUAACAAACUGUACUUCUGCUGUUUCCCCAGAAGAGGGAGACAUUACCAAUAGAAUUCCAUCUUCAGGUUCAAUUUCUAAAUUUGGUCACAAACUGGUGCUGCCAGCUGUGGGAAGUGGCAUAGAAUUCACAGAGAAAGUGAUGAGCCGCACAUGUUUGGAGGCACAAGUACCAAGAGGAGCACCACAGGCCAGUGAUCCUGGAGGAGUUUGAGAGGAUAAAAUUAGAUUAAACUCUGUCGGCAGGAGCAGAGUCCCUGAGCACCAUGGAGUCUCUGAGCAACAGGAACUGUCCACAGACAAACCUGAACAGACUGUCCAACAGUCCAGCUGGCAUUUGACCCUGUGGGAGAUUGGCAGGUCCCCAUUGGACUGAGCGAGAAAGUGCCACAAGACAAAAAUAUCAGAGUUUGGACAUGAUGAAGAAAGCCUUUAUGCUCAGAGUAACAAAAAACAGCUUGUGUUUGAAUACCUCCUGGAUGGAAGGUGAGGCGCUCUUUAAUGCAACAGAGUGAGACGUGUCACCGUAAGAGCAAGAUGAGAGACGAGCAGAUGAAGAUUGCCAGAUACGUAUCAAGUGAGGAAAUGUGCGUCAGAAAGGGUGUUGAUGGAGCAAAUGCUUGUCACGGUCCCUAACUGCGUCUGAUUGCCAGGAAAGCGUUCAACUUCAUAUGGGUUUUUUUGGGGGGGGGUCAUUUUCGAACUUUGCCACAAAACUGUACUUUAUAUGAAGCCAGCGUUUGAGCAUUUUGUCAAACCUGUAAUCGUAUUUAAUUUUAACGCAGUGCAUGACUGCAUCAUUUCCAUCCUUUUUCAGUGAGCUUUUCUUUUUCAGACAUGUUAUACUGAAGUUUCAGUUGACCUAAUAUCAGGGAUUAAUGUGACUACUCAUGUUGACUUCAGUUAUUUAAGAGUGUCAUCACUUUCAAAUAAAUUACACCUCGCCAGACAAUUUUAUUAUUGUUUUAUGUAGCUGUAUUACGCAGAAAGGUGUAGAUUUAUUCCAAAAUGCCCAAUAACCCACCAAACCAAACACAAACUUAUGUAAACACAGCAUACGUAAACAGCCUCACCUAUUUGUCAUUCCAAGUUUGAAUGACUCCUUUCUCCAUCCUUCUCCUCAGAGGUAUUCCCUCGUUCUGGACCAAUGCUUCCUGCAGACCAUUGACUGCAUCCAGAAACUAAAGUAAAUAGUGCAGCUGUGAACGCAGAGGUUAAAGUUAGCCAUCAGUAUAUGAGGGAUCUGUGAACUUUGCUCAGGCCAGAAAACGGUUUGGACCUCUAUGCAUCCAUUCAUCUCCCAGUCCCUCUCAUUUACAUGUAAUGGAAAGAAAAUAAACAGCAGGGUCCUAAUGUGCUCAUUUACAGUAAGUAGAAUUAAAGUAAUGAGUUUUUAUCUUUUCCAGGUGGCGGUGAGGGAAAGGGUAAAGAUCAAACAACAACACUGAAACUGAUUUUAAAAAUCAGGUGCGGAGGUGUUCACUACAGCCUUCUGAGGCUCGUGAGCAGAUCACCUGAGCAUGAUACUCAUUUGUGCCUCUUGCACCCAUAUUUCAACCUUUUUGAGUCUUUUUUUGUUCAUUUUCAAACUCCUUCCUUUGCUUACACUUCGUUUAUGUACAGUGCAGUGAGUCAAUACUGCAUGAGCCCUGUAGUAAUUUCAGUUUACUCAAAUAUGUUUAAAUACAAGUACUAUCACUAGAUGGCAGUGUGGUCAGUCAAGUACAGUACUUGAUGGCGACUCCUAUGUUUUGAUCUGAAGCCAAAAAUGAAAUUAAAUGGAUCCUGCAGGAUUGAUGUGACACUAACAGCAAAUAUGUGCAUUAUCAGUUCAUACAGCAGAGUUUAAUUGCCGUUAUUGUGACACAGUUGUCAUUUAAUCAUUGAUUUUUCCAGCUUUUGGAGUUGAUAAAAAGGAUGAACACAGUUAUAAUACAGAAUUAUUAAUACUGGGGACUAAACCAGCUGUGAUGUUUUGGUUGAGAUACUUGAGAGGACAACACACUGACUCUGGAUCAGAGGGACUGCUUACAAAAAUGCUGUCUUAUGACAAACUGUAGCUCCUCACACUCUGUGCUCUAAGUGCUCUGUCAUUGAAGGCUGUGUUCCCCCCCUCCCCAGUCGCUUUAGUAACCCAGUGUCGUUCUCGACUCAUGGCUCUUCCGCAUCUAAUCCUCCCGGCAAUUUUCUCACUCUAAAUUGAAUUGCUCACCAUGUUGUAUCAAACUUGGAAAUAAUCAGUUUCUUCUGGAACCACUCCACCUUAUAUCCGAUGAUGGUCACGGGAAAUAAAAAAGGAUAAAAAAGCUUCUUUGUUUUUAUUCAGUAUUAUUUGCCCAACUGCUUUUGAACACGCUUGUAAAACUAUUGUUGUCAGUGAAGAAAGAGAUGCAGUGUAUGUAUUUUUUAUGAAGAAACCAAAAUGCUAAUGCCAUCGUGUUCAUGAUAACUGGGCAGCAGUGGCCGUUUGUUUCUGUCCAUUUGUUUCGUCAUAUGUAUGCAUCACCACUGGUGCAGAUAUCCUUUAUGUUCCUGCAAGCAGACUUUCUGCCUGACUGCAGCCGCGUGGCAGGAGGUCCUUUAACAAGCAAAAAUUGUUUAAUAAGUCCCUUAACGCAUGCUUCCAUGUUAGGGUUGACAUUUUGCUCACAGAUAUGAUCACGGUUAGUGAGAUCUGCAGCUUUCUGGAGAUGUGUGCGAGAGCAUCACUGAUAACAAGGGUGUGAUUUUUUUUUCUAGUUUUACCUUUGUCUGAAAGUUUUAAAGAAAGAGAGAGAGAUGGAAAUAAUUGGGUGAGACAAAGGGGAAUGACACACCAGCUGAGAUGCAGUGAAGCCCCAGGAGGCCAGUUGCUCACUGAAAUGCUGUCUGUGAAUGUUUUCUGAAUAUAAAUGUAUGAAUAUUUGUUUUGACACAACAGUCACAUCCACUAAUUAACACUUAACAGGUCCUCAAGGUGUCUGUGCAAAAUCAUAUACUAUAGCAUUAUGUAGGCGUGUAAGGGUGGAAAGUGAUUGAAUAUUCUCAGGCAAGGCAACAGAUAGUCUCUGAUUAUGACUUCAUAUUGAAUUAGUAAAACUGGGUAUCACCCUGUGUGUUGUACUACUAACAGUUGCUUUAUUUUAAAAAGCUGACACUUUUUAUGUAGCCUGAUACAUAAUAUAAAUAUAUAUAAGUCGUUUAAAAAGAGUGUAAUAAAGACAAACCCACAUUAUAA